AAAUUCUUGAUCACAGAAUCUCCAAGCAUACACUCAACCACUGUCAGAAAAUACAGCAAAUCUGCACUCAUCAAAGAAUAUGACAGUGUCCCAAAAUGCUAGUGGCCACUCCAUUAUCUCACUGGCCCAAUAUUUUAGAUGGAAGA